AUAUUGCACAAUGGGCGAAAGCCUGAUGCAGCAACGCCGCGUGAGUGAUGAAGGCCUUAGGGUCGAAAAGCUCUUUGAUCAGGGAUAAUAAUUACAGUACCUGAAAAACAAGCCACUGCUCACUACGUGCCAGCAGCCGCGGUAAUACGUAGGUGGCGAGCGUUGUCCGGAAUUACUGGGCGUAAAGGAUGCGUAGGUGGAUUCUUAAGUGGGAUGUUGAAUCCCCGAGCUCAACCAGGGAACUGCAUUCCAAACUGGGUAUCUAGAGUGCAGGAGAGGAAAGCGGAAUUCCUAGUGUAGCGGUGAAAUGCGUAGAUAUUAGGAGGAACACCAGUGGCGAAGGCGGCUUUCUGGACUGUAACUGACACUGAGGCAUGAAAGCGUGGGUAGCGAACAGG
rnacentral:rRNA from 1 species